UAAAAUAGGUUACUAUAUACUUGAAUCAAUAUUUAAUGUUCACACAUUUAUUUCUAUAACUGUGCUCAUGUGUUUGUGUCUCUUCAGUCAUUAUAGUGUCAGUGAAAUUGCAUGUAGAUUUAAGCACUGAAAUUAUUUUGAAUUAUAAAUUUAACCAGAGACAGGAACUUACUAAAAUAAAAAAACAGGCCAAUCGCAAGAUAUUUGGUGUGGGGGCACCUGGGGUAGCCAACCAGAUUUCAUUGCGGCCAGUUCCACCCCUAUCCACCAUGAAGCUCUGCCCCGUUUAUAUGUGUAUUAAUAUAGACUUUACUCUAUUUAUAGAUUUGGAAAAUAGUUAAUAUUAAGCUCGAUUUAUCAGCAAAACAUAAUGUUGAUUCAAUAUUUUCCAUCAAGAACUGAUAUUAUGACUCUGAAAUUCAGCUCAUAGUGUUGAGACACUAUAAACAGUCGGCUGGUGAGAUCAGAGGAAGUUAACAACCACAGAAGAAGCUGAGGAUGUUUAAAGGAAGAGCUGUAAAUAUAGAAUUAAACGAAACACAGACAGAAACAGAAAAUGUCUGAUAAGUGUGACAUGUGUCUGCUGGGACUGAUCACUCUCUGUGCACUUCUCACAGUUAUUUGUCCCAGUUGCCUCUGUUUCACUUCCUGUGUUGAGCUGGUUUCCUUGGUUACAUGUUAGUCACACAUGUAUCUUGUUUAGUUCCUUGUUAUCUUUUCUGGUGAAAAUAUCUGUCUGUCCUGUAAUAAUGUAAAAACAGACAUUCAGAGACAGCUGAACUGAUUACUGAAGGGAUAAAGAAGAAAGACACAGAGAGACAUGAGAGACUGAGUCUGGGCUCUGACUGCUCUCUGAACAUCAAGAAAGUCACAAAAGAAGAUCAUGGACUCUCACCUUUUUGGACUCAGCUCUCACAGGGACUAUCAUAUUUGUUGGGUACUGAGAUAUGUUUGAUUCCACGCCAUUUUUUCAUGAAUGACUUUUGGGACUUCACCUUGUCCAUCCAACAAAUAUGUUUACUGUUAACUGCUCUCACAGCAGCAAAACAAUUGCUUGUCAACCGUUGGAAUCCUCCUCACACAAUGGACUGACGAACAUGGACGGUGUAUUUGUUGGACAUUAUCUCGAUGGAACUCGCAUAUGUCAUUGAUUCAGGACAAACUGAAGGUUUAAGGUCUGCAGCUCACUGUGUGUCACUCUCAUAUAAAUGAGGUAUAAAUAACUUUGUGUGUUUAUAUUGUAACCAGAACCGUUUCUGAUCAAAAGGGUUCCUCAGCAAAGUCUUACUUCCAUCAUCACUGAACAGAAUUCAGGAGACAAGAUCAUCAGUGAUGCCUUCAUAGAUACAGUUGUCUUGUGUUACCUUAGUUACUUUAAAUAGAUAGCAAACAUGUCUGAAAACAUGUGCCUUUGAAAAACUGUGCAGAUAACAAUGCAGAUAAAAUUAAUCUUUAUUACUUGCACACCUGUAUAGAUAAAUGGAUCAUUACCCCAAACACUGAGAUGUCUUCAGCUGCUCACACAUUUCAGUUACUACACAUCAACAUUUGCAUGUCUUAUUGAAGUCACAUUAUGUUUGAACUGAACUGAUAUUAUUGAUCCACAGAAGCUGCUGUCACAGCAUCAGAAACUGUAGUCUGUAUGACUGCUGGAUCAUUAAUCAGAGUGAUUGUGAUUAUUGUUGAGAUCGCAGUGUUUGCUGCUCCUACUGUGAUUCUUCUUCAGAUCAUCUGUGUGAGAAGAGCUGGAAGGAAAAACUCUCACCACCAAAAUGAAGUAGAGAUGUCUACAAUAUUACAAUGAACUACCUUCUAUAAAUCUAUUAUAAAGAUUACAGCAAGAUGCAUUUCAGUGUUUAUGGAUAUCAUAUUUGCAUACAGCUUUGAAUGUAAUUUUCCAGUACUCCAUAUUGUACAGACUGCUUUAAAUAUGAUAUUAAAUACAGUCAUCAAUAAAGCGACACAGGUACUGUUACGUGUGGUGGUGCUCAAGGAGGGCAAGGAGACGAAGGCGUGAAAAUCAAAAACUCUUUUACUGACGAUACGUAGUUCGGAAUAGAAGAACAUAAAUUAACAUCACAUCACAAUAACAUUAUUAAGACUAGACAAGGGAGAAAACCAAACUGAAUGCUUAUAAAGGGAACCGGAACAAAAGAGCAAUCAACAUAAUCAAACUCAGGUGGGGACAAUCAAACGAUAAUAAACCAACGAGGGCAGGAACUAAACCAAAACAAGGAAAACGAG